rnacentral:rRNA from 1 species
CAGCCGCCGCGGUAAUACCGGCGGCCCGAGUGGCGGUCACUAUUAUUGGGCUUAAAGCGUCCGUAGCCGGGUUGGGAAGUCCUCCGGGAAAUCUGGCCGCUUUACGGGCAGAAUGCCGGAGGAUACUCCCAGCCUAGGGAGCGGGAGAGGCCGAGGGUAUUCCCGGGGUAGGGGGGAAAUCCUAUAAUCCCGGGAGGACCACCUGUGGCGAAGGCGCUCGGCUGGAACGCGUCCGACGGUGAGGGACGAAGGCCAGGGGAGCAAACCGGAUUAGAUACCCGGGUAGUCCUGGCUGUAAACGAUGCGGACUUUGUGUCGGACAAGCUAUGAGCUUGUCCGGUGCCGGAGGGAAACCGUUAAGUCCGCCGCCUGGGGAGUACGGCCGCAAGGCUGAAACUUAAAGGAAUUGGCGGG